AGAGUUUGAUCCUGGCUCAGAUUGAACGCUGGCGGAAUGCUUUACACAUGCAAGUCGAGCGGCAGCGCGGGGGCAACCCUGGCGGCGAGCGGCGAACGGGUGAGUAACAUAUCGGAACGUACCCAGUCGUGGGGGAUAACUAUCCGAAAGGAUAGCUAAUACCGCAUACGACCCGAGGGUGAAAGCGGGGGGACCGAAAGGCCUCGCGCGAUUGGAGCGGCCGAUAUCGGAUUAGCUAGUUGGUGAGGUAAAGGCUCACCAAGGCGACGAUCCGUAGCUGGUCUGAGAGGACGACCAGCCACACUGGAACUGAGACACGGUCCAGACUCCUACGGGAGGCAGCAGUGGGGAAUUUUGGACAAUGGGGGCAACCCCUGAUCCAGCCAUUCCGCGUGAGUGAAGAAGGCCUUCGGGUUGUAAAGCUCUUUCAGCAGGAACGAAACGGUGGUCCCUAAUACGGGCUACUAAUGACGGUACCUGAAGAAGAAGCACCGGCUAACUACGUG
rnacentral:rRNA from 1 species